UCAUUACUGAGUGAGGGCUACGGUCCGACCUCCAACCCUUUGUGAACCAAACUUGUUGCUUCGGGGGCGACCCUGCCGCUUCGGCGGUGCGGCGCCCCCGGAGGCCAUUAAACACUGCAUCAUUGCGUCGGAGUAAAAGUAAAUUAAACAAAACUUUCAACAACGGAUCUCUUGGUUCCAGCAUCGAUGAAGAACGCAGCGAAAUGCGAUAAGUAAUGUGAAUUGCAGAAUUCAGUGAAUCAUCGAAUCUUUGAACGCACAUUGCGCCCUCUGGUAUUCCGGGGGGCAUGCCUGUUCGAGCGUCAUUUCACCACUCAAGCCUGGCUUGGUAUUGGGCGUCGCGGCUCCGCGCGCCUUAAAGUCUUCCGGCUGAGCUGUCCGUCUCUAAGCGUUGUGGCAACUAUUCGCUUCGGAGGUCGGGUGGCCGCGGCCGUUAAAUCUUUCACAAGGUUGACCUCGGAUCAGGUAGGGAUACCCGCUGAACUUAAGCAUAUCAAAAG
rnacentral:rRNA from 1 species